UACGGAGGGUGCAAGCGUUGUUCGGAAUUACUGGGCGUAAAGCGCGUGUAGGCGGCUAAUUAUGUCAGGUGUGAAAGCCCUCGGCCUAACCGAGGAAGUGCGCCUGAAACUGAUUAGCUUGAGUACGAGAGAGGAGGACGGAAUUCCCAGUGUAGAGGUGAAAUGCGUAGAUAUCUGGAGGAACACCGGUGGCGAAGGCGGCAUCCUGGACCGGCAUUGACGCUGAGGCGCGAAAGCCAGGGGAGCAAACGGG
rnacentral:rRNA from 1 species